rnacentral:RNase_P_RNA from 1 species
GAAGUGGGCUGGACGGUCGCUGCUGUGGAGGUCUCCGUGACUGAAACAGGGGAGGAAAGUCCGGGCUUCAUAGGGCAGGGUGCCAGGUAACGCCUGGGCGGUGUAAACCGACGGCAAGUGCAGCAGAGAGUAGACCGCCUCAUUCGUGAGGUAAGGGUGAAAGGGUGCGGUAAGAGCGCACCGCGUGUCUGGUAACAGUUCACGGCAAGGUAAACCCCACCAGAAGCAAGACCAAAUAGGAAUCCUGAGGCACGGCCCGUGCUGGAUUCGGGUAGGUCGCUUGAGCGUACGAGUGAUUGUACGCCUAGAGGAAUGAUCGUCCUCGACAGAACCCGGCUUACAGGCCCACUUCCAAG